rnacentral:rRNA from 1 species
GAUGAACGCUGGCGGCGUGCUUAACACAUGCAAGUCGAACGAUGAAGCCCAGCUUGCUGGGUGGAUUAGUGGCGAACGGGUGAGUAACACGUGAGUAACCUGCCCUUAACUCUGGGAUAAGCCUGGGAAACUGGGUCUAAUACCGGAUAGGAGCGUCCACCGCAUGGUGGGUGUUGGAAAGAUUUAUCGGUUUUGGAUGGACUCGCGGCCUAUCAGCUUGUUGGUGAGGUAAUGGCUCACCAAGGCGACGACGGGUAGCCGGCCUGAGAGGGUGACCGGCCACACUGGGACUGAGACACGGCCCAGACUCCUACGGGAGGCAUCAGUGGGGAAUAUUGCACAAUGGGCGCAAGCCUGAUGCAGCGACGCCGCGUGAGGGAUGACGGCCUUCGGGUUGUAAACCUCUUUCAGUAGGGAAGAAGCGAAAGUGACGGUACCUGCAGAAGAAGCACCGGCUAACUACGUG